CAAUAGCGUAUAUUAAAGUUGUUGCAGUUAAAAAGCUCGUAGUUGGAUUUCUGGUUUCGAAAACCUGUCCGAUAUUACCAAAUUUGGUUUAUCGGUGACGGAGUUUUUGUGCCAUCCUUCCUGUGAUUUCUACUCCCCUUUAAUUAGGUGGAUGUAGUGCUCAGGAUCUUUUACUUUGAAAAAUUAGAGUGUUUAAAGCAAGCAGUGUGUUGAAUACAUUAGCAUGGAAUAAUAAUCUAGGACUUUGGUUCUAUUUUGUUGGUUUCUUAGCGCCAAAGUAAUGAUUGAUAGGGAUAGUUGGGGGUGGCUAGUAUUUACAGGCCAGAGGUGAAAUUCUCGGAUUCUGUAAAGACUAACUUAUGCGAAAGCAUUCACCAAGGAUGUCUUCUUUAAUCAAGAACGAAAGUUGGGGGA
rnacentral:rRNA from 1 species